AGCAGAACUUGCUUGUUCGAAGAAGUUGAUUCACUUUCGGAGCAGGUGGGACCCUCCCUCUCCAUCUGUGACCUGGUUUGUUUCUGGGCUAAAUUGUGGGAGGUGAGGAUGUGAAGAGAGAGUUUCAGGAGAAAGAAGUUUCAGGAGAAAAGAUGGUUGUUAGCUGGACAAAUGUCUGCGAGGAGACUAAAGGUUUCCUGGGAAGCUGCUGUGUUCAAAGUUUUCAGGAAAGAACAAACAACACUGAUCAUCCAUGUGUCUUAAUAUAGAAGGCUCCAGAAGCCCCCAGACAGCCUUAGGAGGGCUACAGGGCAGGGAGGGGAGAGCAUUGUGCACUGCAGAGGAAGCCAAGGGGACAAAGAGCACUGUUUAAAUGUGGUAUGACAAUGGUCUUCCUGGGCUCUUGGCUCUGCUCAUCUGAACCUUUCUGACCCUGAGACAUUGUUGUUAGAUCUUCUAAAGAGAGGGGGGAAAAAAACCUGUUUCAGAAAUUAAAAGAAAAUAACUCACUGAGUUAUUCUUCACCGUGAACUAUUUAAGGCUGGGCCGUGUGUGCCUUGACCUGCGCGUCCUUUGGACAGAUGAACAGACACACUCCGGUGUACUCCCCUCCUCCCAGAGUCCCUAUGUCAUCAACCUGAUAGAGAAGGACAGUUGGGCUUGGGUUUAUAAGAAAUGAAAUUUUAUAUAUGUCCUAAAACAUAGAUAUGGAAAAAAACAUCAGAAAUAAAUAAUAAAAAAAUACUCCAAAUA
rnacentral:lncRNA from 1 species